rnacentral:rRNA from 1 species
GUGGGGAAUAUUGGACAAUGGGCGCAAGCCUGAUCCAACCAUGCCGCGUGAGUGAUGAAGGCCUUAGGGUUGUAAAGCUCUUUUGUCCGGGAAGAUAAUGACUGUACCGGAAGAAUAAGCCCCGGCUAACUUCGUGCCAGCAGCCGCGGUAAUACGAAGGGGGCUAGCGUUGUUCGGAAUCACUGGGCGUAAAGCGCACGUAGGCGGACCAUUAAGUCAGGGGUGAAAGCCUGGAGCUCAACUCCAGAACUGCCUUUGAUACUGAUGGUCUCGAGUAUGGAAGAGGUUGGUGGAACUGCGAGUGUAGAGGUGAAAUUCGUAGAUAUUCGCAAGAACACCGGUGGCGAAGGCGGCCAACUGGUCCAUUACUGACGCUGAGGUGCGAAAGCGUGGGGAGCAAACAGGAUUAGAAACCCCGGUAGUCC